rnacentral:rRNA from 1 species
GACAGAGGGUGCAAACGUUGUUCGGAAUUACUGGGCGUAAAGCGCGUGUAGGCGGCCAUGCAAGUCGGAUGUGAAAGCCCUCGGCUCAACCGGGGAAGUGCACUCGAAACUGCAAGGCUAGAGUCUCGGAGAGGAUCGUGGAAUUCUCGGUGUAGAGGUGAAAUUCGUAGAUAUCGGGAGGAACACCGGUGGCGAAGGCGGGUCUCUGGGCAGUAACUGACGCUGAGGAGCGAAAGCGUGGGGAGCGAACAGG